rnacentral:rRNA from 1 species
GAUGAACGCUGGCGGCGCGCUUAACACAUGCAAGUCGAACGAAAAUAGCAACCUUGCUUGGUUGAAUAGUGGCGAACGGGUGAGUAACACGUGGGUAACCUGCCCCUUACUUUCGGGUAGACAUGCUGAAAACGGGGAUAAAACACUAAGACAUUCUGACCUCCGUC